GCUAUCCCAACCAUAAAAUUAAUGUGUUAACCGACAUGGAGCCAAAAACACCAGCAUCUGAUAUCACAUAUCAUCACAGCGGCAAGGAUAAUCUUUGCCCAAAACUGGAAAUCAACAAUGAUACCCACGGACCUGGCAAUAA